GCCGGGUCUUCUGGGCAUAGGGACUCCUAGAUGAGUGGGGCAGGGGCUGAGGAAUGCAAAUGAGAUGUCAGUGUGCCCUUCCCUCAGCCCAUUCAAAGUCUGUAGCCCUGGAUUGAAUGAACUGGAGGAGAAGCUUAUUUGCCAGGGGAUGGGAAGCAGAAACCCAGGUGUUUGGUUACCUGGGGCCUGCCUCUCCUUCAGCCUGAGAUAUGGAGAGAGCAGGGCUGGAAGGACUCCCUACCCCCACCUCAGCCUCGCUUCCCGCUCUGCGUCCCUACUUGGCUGUCCUUGCUUCAGUCUGCCCCUGCCCCACCUCCCACCUCCAGCUACUGCCCUACAAGUCAAGGAAUGUUUGGGCCCCAGGGGUAGAGCUGGGGGUUGGAUAAGGGUAAGACUGCACAGGGGCCAGAUGGGCUGGUUUGGAGAAGGGUAAUGAGAUCCCAGGAAGAGAGAG
ensembl:lncRNA LINC01154 long intergenic non-protein coding RNA 1154